UCGUCGGCUUCACAAUUUCCUGGAAUGCCUCUGUGUUGCGGUACUCAUACGAGGUUAAUAAAUCAAAUGAAAAU